rnacentral:rRNA from 1 species
GAUGAACGCUGGCGGCGUGCCUAACACAUGCAAGUCGAGCGAUUCUCUUCGGAGAAGAGCGGCGGACGGGUGAGUAACGCGUGGGUAACCUGCCCUGUACACACGGAUAACAUACCGAAAGGUAUGCUAAUACGAGAUAACAUACUUUUAUCGCAUGGUAGAAGUAUCAAAGCUCCGGCGGUACAGGAUGGACCCGCGUCUGAUUAGCUAGUUGGUAAGGUAACGGCUUACCAAGGCGACGGUCAGUAGCCGACCUGAGAGGGUGACCGGCCACAUUGGGACUGAGACACGGCCCAA